CUUUUUCCAUUAUGCAGCCAACCAUUUUUCUGAAUGAUGAUGUCCUUUGCCUCACAGAAGUGUCUCAGUUUCAUGAGGUCCCAUUUAUUACUUGUUGAUCUUAGUACCUGCACUAUUUGUGUGCUCUGUUCAGGAAGUUGUCUCCUUGUCAGUGCAUUCAAGGCUAUUCUCCACUUUCUCUUCUAGUAGGUUCAGUGUGCCAUGUUUUAUAUUGAGGUCUUUGUUCCUCAAUUGUAGUUGAGUUCUGUGUAGGGUGACAAAUAUGGAUUCAUUUGCAUUCUUCUACCUGCAAUCAUCCGGUUUGACUAGCAUCAUUUGUUGAAGGUGCUGACUUUCUCCCGCAGGCAGAUCAUCUCCCGGGAAUGGACUCUUUGAACGCCGUGUCCAUCUCUGAACUAAAGUCUUGAGAGUGCUGACUGUUGGUCAGUCGUGUCUACUGAGGUGGUGACAGCUGCUGAGGCAGAGCCAGCACCUGCCUUGGAACUCCAGUUUCCAAACUGACGACAGGAUGAAGCUCUGCUGUUAUGCUGGUAUCCAGAGUGAUAUCCUCAGAAGUCAUUGACUGUAUCAUGGCAGGGCCAGAACUGCUGAAAAUAGAAGAAGACUUAGUCAAAGAUUUGAGCAACCAUGGGCUGGAAAGGAUUGAGUACCUCCACCCUAAUAUUAAGCAGGUACCCUGACCCUGAAAAAGGCUGGAACCCAAAUCAGAAGACAUGGUGACCCAAAGAACUCUUUGACCUUAACGAAGCCCAGGCCUGUUAGAGAGGAAACAUAGGCCUGGGCCAAUCAAAUGAAAGAAGCCAGGGCUAUACCAAGAAAAUGAGUGUGCCCAGACAAAUCCUGA